GGGUGCGAAAACCAAGAAAAAUGCUUAUUUGGGUCCCUUUUUGGUCCCUAAUUCCUAAACUGUUGGGACCUAAACUCCCAAAAUCAAUACCAACCUUCCUUUUAUAGUCAUUAACAUUGUGUUUAAAUUUCAUUGAUUUCUAUUUACUUAAACUAAAGUUAUUGUGCGAAAACCAAGAAUAAUGCUUAUUUGGGCCCUUUUUUGGCCCCUAAUUCCUAAAUUGUUGAAACCAAAACUCCCAAAAUCAAUCCCAACCGUUCUUUUGUGGUCAUAAACCUUGUGUCAAAAUUUCAUAGAUUUCUAUUAACUUAAACUAAAGUUAUAGUGCGAAAACCAAGAAAAUGCUUAUUUGGGCCCUUUUUGGCCCCUAAUUCCUAAAAUGUUGGGACCAAAACUCCCAAAAUCAAUACCAACCUUCCUUUUAUGGUCAUAAACCUUGUGUUAAAAUUUCAUAGAUUUCCAUUCACUUUUACUAAAGUUAGAGUGCGAAAACUAAAAGUAUUCGGACGACGACGACGACGACGACGACGCCAACGUGAUAGCAAUAUACGACGAAAAAUUUUUCAAAUUUUGCGGUCGUAUAAAAAUCAU
rnacentral:lncRNA from 1 species